rnacentral:rRNA from 1 species
AGGAAAGCAGGGGAUCGCAAGACCUUGCGCUUUUGGAGCGGCCGAUGUCUGAUUAGCUAGUUGGUGAGGUAAAGGCUUACCAAGGCGUCGAUCAGUAGCUGGUCUGAGAGGACGACCAGCCACACUGGGACUGAGACACGGCCCAGACUCCUACGGGAGGCAGCAGUGGGGAAUUUUGGACAAUGGGGGAAACCCUGAUCCAGCCAUGCCGCGUGAGUGAAGAAGGCCUUCGGGUUGUAAAGCUCUUUCAGCCGGAACGAAACGGUCACAGCUAAUACCUGUGACUACUGACGGUACCGGAAGAAGAAGCACCGGCUAACUACGUGCCAGCAGCCGCGGUAAUACGUAGGGUGCGAGCGUUAAUCGGAAUUACUGGGCGUAAAGCGUGCGCAGGCGGUUUUGUAAGUCAGAUGUGAAAUNCCCCGGGCUUAACCUGGGAACUGCGUUUGAAACUANCAAGGCU